rnacentral:rRNA from 1 species
AUUGAACGCUGGCGGCAGGCCUAACACAUGCAAGUCGAGCGAGCGGCGGACGGGUGAGUAAUGUCUGGGAAACUGCCUGAUGGAGGGGGAUAACUACUGGAAACGGUAGCUAAUACCGCAUACCAUCAGAUGUGCCCAGAUGGGAUUAGUUCGUAGGUGGGGUAACGGCUCACCUAGGAGACGAUCCCUAGCUGGUCUGAGAGGAUGACCAGCAACUCUGGAACUGAGCCACGGUCCAGACUCCUACGGGAGGAAGCAGUGGGAAAUAGUGCACAAUGGGCGCAAGCCUGAUGCAGCCAUGCCGCGUAUGUGAAGAAGGCUUUCGGGUUGUAAAGCACUUUCAGCGGGGAGGCGUUACCCGCAGAAGAAGCACCGGCUAACUCCGUGCCAGCAGCCGCGGUAAUUC